rnacentral:rRNA from 1 species
AUGGAUGUUAUGGAUGUAAGUAGUGAAAUACAAGGAACUCUUGGUAGAAGCUACUAUGUCCCAGAUGACAUUGAUGAGGAGGAACUUAUUUGUAGUUGGCUAUUCAUAGAUGACUCAAACACCAGGUUUGAUCUUGAUGUAAAUGGUCGGUGCUUCGUUUGUGCAUGGGAAAAUUCGUUGUAUUUUUCCUCAUAUUUCACUGCCAGUCGUUGA